CUGGCGGCAGGCCUAACACAUGCAAGUCGAGCGGUAACAUUUCAAAAGCUUGCUUUUGAAGAUGACGAGCGGCGGACGGGUGAGUAAUGCCUGGGAAUAUGCCUUGAUGUGGGGGAUAACCAUUGGAAACGAUGGCUAAUACCGCAUAAUGCCUACGGGCCAAAGAGGGGGAUCUUCGGACCUCUCGCGUCAAGAUUAGCCCAGGUGGGAUUAGCUAGUUGGUGAGGUAAUGGCUCACCAAGGCGACGAUCCCUAGCUGGUCUGAGAGGAUGAUCAGCCACACUGGAACUGAGACACGGUCCAGACUCCUACGGGAGGCAGCAGUGGGGAAUAUUGCACAAUGGGCGCAAGCCUGAUGCAGCCAUGCCGCGUGUGUGAAGAAGGCCUUCGGGUUGUAAAGCACUUUCAGUCGUGAGGAAGGUAGUUGCGUUAAUAGCGUAAUUAUUUGACGUUAGCGACAGAAGAAGCACCGGCUAACUCCGUGCCAGCAGCCGCGGUAAUACGGAGGGUGCGAGCGUUAAUCGGAAUUACUGGGCGUAAAGCGCAUGCAGGUGGUUUGUUAAGUCAGAUGUGAAAGCCCGGGGCUCAACCUCGGAAUUGCAUUUGAAACUGGCAGACUAGAGUACUGUAGAGGGGGGUAGAAUUUCAGGUGUAGCG
rnacentral:rRNA from 1 species